rnacentral:rRNA from 1 species
AUUGAACGCUGGCGGCAGGCCUAACACAUGCAAGUCGAACGGUAACAGGAAGAAGCUUGCUUCUUUGCUGACGAGUGGCGGACGGGUGAGUAAUGUCUGGGAAACUGCCUGAUGGAGGGGGAUAACUACUGGAAACGGUAGCUAUUACCGCAUAACGUCGCAAGACCAAAGAGGGGGACCUUCGGGCCUCUUGCCAUCGGAUGUGCCCAGAUGGGAUUAGCUAGUAGGUGGGGUAACGGCUCACCUAGGCGACGAUCCCUAGCUGGUCUGAGAGGAUGACCAGCCACACUGGAACUGAGACACGGUCCAGACUCCUACGGGAGGCAGCAGUGGGGAAUAUUGCACAAUGGGCGCAAGCCUGAUGCAGCCAUGCCGCGUGUAUGAAGAAGGCCUUCGGGUUGUAAAGUACUUUCAGCGGGGAGGAAGGGAGUAAAGUUAAUACCUUUGCUCAUUGACGUUACCCGCAGAAGAAGCACCGGCUAACUCCGUG